UAGGGAAUCUUCGGCAAUGGACGAAAGUCUGACCGAGCAACGCCGCGUGAGUGAAGAAGGUUUUCGGAACGUAAAACUCUGUUGUUAGAGAAGAACAAGGACGUUAGUAACUGAACGUCCCCUGACGGUAUCUAACCAGAAAGCCACGGCUAAGUACGUGCCAGCAGCCGCGGUAAUACGGAGGUGGCAAGCGUUGUCCGGAUUUAUUGGGCGUAAAGCGAGCGCAGGCGGUUUCUUAAGUCUGAUGUGAAAGCCCCCGGCUCAACCGGGGAGGGUCAUUGGAAACUGGGAGACUUGAGUGCAGAAGAGGAGAGUGGAAUUCCAUGUGUAGCGGUGAAAUGCGUAGAUAUAUGGAGGAACACCAGUGGCGAAGGCGGCUCUCUGGUCUGUAACUGACGCUGAGGCUCGAAAGCGUGGGGAGCAAACAGG
rnacentral:rRNA from 1 species